AUUGAACGCUGGCGGCAGGCUUAACACAUGCAAGUCGAGCGGAGAUGAGGUGCUUGCACCUCAUCUUAGCGGCGGACGGGUGAGUAAUGCUUAGGAAUCUGCCUAUUAGUGGGGGACAACAUUCCGAAAGGAAUGCUAAUACCGCAUACGUCCUACGGGAGAAAGCAGGGGAUCUUCGGACCUUGCGCUAAUAGAUGAGCCUAAGUCGGAUUAGCUAGUUGGUGGGGUAAAGGCCUACCAAGGCGACGAUCUGUAGCGGGUCUGAGAGGAUGAUCCGCCACACUGGGACUGAGACACGGCCCAGACUCCUACGGGAGGCAGCAGCGGGGAAUAUUGGACAAUGGGGGGAACCCUGAUCCAGCCAUGCCGCGUGUGUGAAGAAGGCCUUAUGGUUGUAAAGCACUUUAAGCGAGGAGGAGGCUACUGAGACUAAUACUCUUGGAUAGUGGACGUUACUCGCAGAAUAAGCACCGGCUAACUCUGUGCCAGCCGCCGCUGUAA
rnacentral:rRNA from 1 species